UGUAAACACUCAACCCUAGAUGCUGCC
rnacentral:piRNA from 1 species